rnacentral:rRNA from 1 species
GAUGAACGCUGGCGGCGUGCCUAAUACAUGCCAGUCGAGCGAACGGACGAGAAGCUUGCUUCUCUGAUGUUAGCGGCGGACGGGUGAGUAACACGUGGAUAACCUACCUAUAAGACUGGGAUAACUUCGGGAAACCGGAGCUAAUACCGGAUAAUAUUAUGAACCGCAUGGUUCAAAAGUGAAAGACGGUCUUGCUGUCACUUAUAGAUGGAUCCGCGCUGCAUUAGCUAGUUGGUAAGGUAACGGCUUACCAAGGCAACGAUGCAUAGCCGACCUGAGAGGGUGAUCGGCCACACUGGAACUGAGACACGGUCCAGACUCCUACGGGAGGCAGCAGUAGGGAAUCUUCCGCAAUGGGCGAAAGCCUGACGGAGCAACGCCGCGUGAGUGAUGAAGGUCUUCGGAUCGUAAAACUCUGUUAUUAGGGAAGAACAUAUGAGUAAGUAACUGUGCACAUCUUGACGGUACCUAAUCAGAAAGCCACGGCUAACUACGUG